CAGUGGGUUCAUCUCUGAAGCCCAGCAGUGAGUGAUGCCUGGUGGAGGAGCUGGUUUGGGGCUCCCUGAGCCCUCUUCCUCACGCUCCUGUAUUCCCGUGCCUUUGCCCAAAGUCCUUCCCUGCAGCAGGGCUUUGGAUGCUCAGGAAUGCAGGAAGGUUAAAAUGUGAACAGGGCUUGCCUGUGGUCACUGGGUGUCCUGCAGGGUGGCUGGCACAGGUGACAGCAUGUGCAGACACACAGGUGACAGCAGGGAGGACAUCCAUGUGCAUCUCCUCUCCCUGGGAUCUCUCCUGGCUGCUGGAAUGUUAAACCAGAACGUGAGGCAGCCCGAGGAGCUGGGAUUCGUUCAGUGCUGGGAAGGGCUCUGCUGGUGUCCUGCACAAAUCCAGCUUGGCUUCUUCCAUCCCAGCCCCCAUUCCCAGGGUCUGUGCCCUGCUCCUGCCCAGGGCCUGGCCCUGCAGGGCUCAGGGGGCAGAGGCUCCCGUGGGUGAGGAGCUGCAGGUGCCUAAAGAGGCUCUCUGCCCCUCAGGGUGUGCAGGGCUCAGCAGCCUGAGACCCCUCCUGCCAAGCCUUGGGCAAACAGAGAAGGAAAACCCAGCCCAGGUGAGCCCUGCUGGUGCUCCAGCCUGUCCCAGCACAGGGAGCUGCAGGUGCUGCUGCCUCCAGGGCGCUGUGACCCCACAGGCAGGGCUGGAAUACUGCACGUGUUCCUGCUGCUAAUUGGCAAAUGUCCCCAAGGGUUUGAGGACAUGUCCAGAGGCUCCCAAGGAUGUCACAGUAAAGUGUUCCUUGGGGUCUAUUUAUUCAUUCAGGUCAGAGACUCUGCUCUGACCCCUUUUAAAAGCAGCACUUGAGGAGAAAUGGCCUCUCUCCUUUUCUCCCUGGAUAUCCCUGACCUCUCCAGGGCAGUGAUUUCUCCAUGAGAGCUCUUGGCACAUCAACCCUUAUGCAAAUGAGAUUCCAAAGAGUUGAUCAACCCUGCCAGUGCCGCUGGUUCUCCUGGUGUUUCAGGAAGAAACAUGGAAAUCUCAGAGCAGAGCUUGUUUACAGAGUGCUUGUGGGUUCCAGGCCCAGCCAGCAUCAGAUUUCUCUUGUAUGUUCCUUUCAAAUAAAGGCUGAAAUAAAAAUAA